UACGGAGGGGCUAGCGUUGUUCGGAAUUACUGGGCGUAAAGCGCACGUAGGCGGCUUUGUAAGUUAGAGGUGAAAGCCCGGGGCUCAACUCCGGAAUUGCCUUUAAGACUGCAUCGCUAGAAUUGUGGAGAGGUAAGUGGAAUUCCGAGUGUAGAGGUGAAAUUCGUAGAUAUUCGGAAGAACACCAGUGGCGAAGGCGGCUCACUGGCCCGGUACUGACGCGUGAGGUGCGAAAGCGUGGGGAGCAAACAGG
rnacentral:rRNA from 1 species